AUAAAACAAAAGGAAUAAUUUUGGGAACUAAACAAGGCCUAUGUUCAAAGGAAGUAGGCCAUGUGAAGAGAAAGGCUGGACCAGAUAACACCAACAUAGAGAAAAAAAAGCUACUUAUUUCUUGGAAACCACACUGGGAACAGAUCUUGCGGUCAAAAUUGAACAGUAUGAUAGUUGAGGUACCAUUUCGAGGGCAAAAUUAGGAAAAAUAGAAGAGUCAAGUACCUAUUCAUUAUAUAAUGAAUCAAAUCAGAUUAUUUUAAAAUAAAGGAGCUGUCUUUC
rnacentral:lncRNA from 1 species